UCAAGUAAUUAAGUGCAUGUGGUGGAUGCCUUAGAGGCGAUGAAAGACGUGAUAGCCUGCGAAAAGCUCCGGGGAGGCGGCAAAUGAUCCGGAGAUUUCUGAAUGGGGGAACCCACCUACUUUAAGGUAGGUAUUGCAUACAUAGUGUUGCAAGGCGAACGAGGGGAAGUGAAACAUCUCAGUACCCUUAGAAUCAAUUGAGAUUCCCUCAGUAGCGGCGAGCGAACGGGGAUCAGCCCAUUAAGUGUUUUAGUGGAACGCUCUGGGAAGUGCGAACGUAGAGGGUGAUAUUCCCGUAGGGCACACAUAAUGAUGACGAGUAGGGCGAGGCACGUGAAACCUUGUCUGAAGGACCAUCCUCCAAGGCUAAAUACUCCUGACUGACCGAUAGUGAACCAGUACCAAAGGCGAAAAGAACCCCUGUGAGGGGAGUGAAAUAGAUCCUGAAACCGCAUGGCAGUGGGAGCCGACUUGUUCGGUGACUGCGUACCUUUUGUAUAAUGGGUCAGUAUUCAGUAGCGAGGUUAACCGUAUAGGGGAGCCGUAGAGAAAUCGAGUCUUAGUUUAGUUGCUGGGUAUAGACCCGAAACCAGGCGAUCUAUCCAUGAGCAGGUUGGGUAACACUAACUGGAGGACCGAACCCACUGUCGUUGAAAAGCCAGGGGAUGGAUAGGGGUGAAAGGCUAAUCAAGCCUGGUGAUAGCUGGUUCUCCCCGAAAGCGUAGCGCCUCGGACGAAUACCAUAGGGGGUAGAGCACUGUUUCGGCUAGGGGGGACUUACCAAACCGAUGCAAACUCCGAAUACCUAUGAGUACUAUCCGGGAGACGGGUGCUAACGUCCGUAGUCAAGAGGAAAACAAUCCAGACCGCCAGCUAAGGCUCAUAGUUAAGUGGGAAACGAUGUGGGAAGGCAUAGACAGCUAGGAGGUUGGCCAGCCACCCUUUAAAGAAAGCGUAAUAGCUCACUAGUCGAGUCGGCCUGCGCGUAACGGGGCUAAAACUAUGUGCCGAAGCUGCGGAUUUGACAUUAGUCAAGUGGGCGUUCUGUAAGCCGAUGAAGGUGUAUUGAGAAGUAUGCUGGAGGUAUCAGAAUGCUGACGUGAGUAACGACAAAACGGGUGAAAAACCCGUUCGCCGAAAGACCACAGUCCAACGUUAAUCGGGGCUGGGUGAGUCGACCCCUAAGGCGAGGCCGAAAUCGAUGGGAAAUUGGUUAAUAUUCCAAUACUUCUGUGUAAUGCGAUGAGAGGAGGUUAAGUCAGCCUGGCGUUGGUUGUCCAGGUGGAAGGAUGUAGGUAUGUAUCAAUCCGGGGUACUCUAUACUGAGAUCCGAUAGCAAGCUGUACUUGUACAGUGAGAUACCAUGCUUCCAGGAAAAGUCUCUAAGCUUCAGUUACACAGGAAUCGUACCGACACAGGUGGUCAGGUCGAGUAGACCAAGGCGCUUGAGAGAACUCUGCUGAAGGCAAAAUGGUACCGUAACUUCGGGAGAAGGUACGCUGUUGUUGGUGAUGGAUCCUGAGCUGAUGACAGCCGCAGAAACCAGGCCGCUGCAACUGUUUAUUAAAAACUCUGCAAACACGAAAGUGGACGUAUAGGGUGUGAUGCCUGCCCGGUGCUGGAUUGAUGGGGUUAGCGUAAGCGAAGCUCUUGAUCGAAGCCCCAGUAAACGGCGCUAUAACGGUCCUAAGGUAGCGAAAUUCCUUGUCGGGUAAGUUCCGACCUGCACAUAAUGAUGGCGGCGCUGUCUCCAGCAGAGGCUCAGUGAAAUCGAAAUCGCUUGCAGUGUACCCGCGGCUAGACGGAAAGACCCCGUGAACCUUUACUGCAGCUUAACUUUGACCUUACUUGUGUAGGAUAGGUGGGAGGCUUUGAAGUUGGAACGCUAUGGAGCCGUCCUUGAAAUACCACCCUGGUAAUGUUGAGGUUCUAACUCUGUCCCGGGACGAGGACCGUGUCUGGUGGGUAGUUUGACUGGGGCGGUCUCCUCCUAACGGAGGAGUACGAAGGUGCGCUCAGCGUGGUCGGAAAUCACGCGUAGAGUAUAAAGCGCGCUUAACUGCGAGACCCACAAGUCGAGCAGGUACGAAAGUAGGUCUCCGGUGGUUCUGUAUGGAAGGGCCAUCGCUCAACGGAUAAAAGGUACUCUGGGGGCUGAUACCGCCCAAGAGUUCAUAUCGACGGCGGUGUUUGGCACCUCGAUGUUCUCAUCCUGGGGCUGAAGCAGGUCCCAAGGGUAUGGCUGUUCGCCAUUUAAAGCGAGCUGGGUUUAGAACGUCGUGAGACAGUUCGGUCCCUAUCUACCGUGGGCAUUUGAGAGGAUCUGCUCCUAGUACGAGAGGACCAGAGUGGACGAACCUCUGGGUUGUGACGCCAGUCGCAUCGCCGGGUAGCUAUGUUCGGAAGGGAUAACCGCUUCUAAGCGGGAAGCCUACCUCAAGAUAAGAUUUCCCUAGGAAUUUAUUCCUCUCGUUCGAGACUAGGACGUUGAUAGGUUGGAUGUGGAAGCAUAGUGAUAUGUGACAAUACUAAUUGCUCGUGAGGCUUGACUAU
rnacentral:rRNA from 1 species